AGAGUUUGAUCCUGGCUCAGGAUGAACGCUAGCUACAGGCUUAACACAUGCAAGUCGAGGGGCAGCAUGGUCUUAGCUUGCUAAGGUCGAUGGCGACCGGCGCACGGGUGAGUAACACGUAUCCAACCUGCCGUCUACUCUUGGACAGCCUUCUGAAAGGAAGAUUAAUACAAGAUGGCAUCAUGAGUCCACAUGUUCACAUGAUUAAAGGUAUUCCGGUAGACGAUGGGGAUGCGUUCCAUUAGAUAGUAGGCGGGGUAACGGCCCACCUAGUCUUCGAUGGAUAGGGGUUCUGAGAGGAAGGUCCCCCACAUUGGAACUGAGACACGGUCCAAACUCCUACGGGAGGCAGCAGUGAGGAAUAUUGGUCAAUGGGCGAGAGCCUGAACCAGCCAAGUAGCGUGAAGGAUGACUGCCCUAUGGGUUGUAAACUUCUUUUAUAAAGGAAUAAAGUCGGGUAUGCAUACCCGUUUGCAUGUACUUUAUGAAUAAGGAUCGGCUAACUCCGUGCCAGCAGCCGCGGUAAUACGGAGGAUCCGAGCGUUAUCCGGAUUUAUUGGGUUUAAAGGGAGCGUAGAUGGAUGUUUAAGUCAGUUGUGAAAGUUUGCGGCUCAACCGUAAAAUUGCAGUUGAUACUGGAUAUCUUGAGUGCAGUUGAGGCAGGCGGAAUUCGUGGUGUAGCGGUGAAAUGCUUAGAUAUCACGAAGAACUCCGAUUGCGAAGGCAGCCUGCUAAGCUGCAACUGACAUUGAGGCUCGAAAGUGUGGGUAUCAAACAGGAUUAGAUACCCUGGUAGUCCACACGGUAAACGAUGAAUACUCGCUGUGUGCGAUAUUCUGCAAGCGGCCAAGCGAAAGCGUUAAGUAUUCCACCUGGGGAGUACGCCGGCAACGGUGAAACUCAAAGGAAUUGACGGGGGCCCGCACAAGCGGAGGAACAUGUGGUUUAAUUCGAUGAUACGCGAGGAACCUUACCCGGGCUUAAAUUGCAGAUGAAUUACGGUGAAAGCCGUAAGCCGCAAGGCAUCUGUGAAGGUGCUGCAUGGUUGUCGUCAGCUCGUGCCGUGAGGUGUCGGCUUAAGUGCCAUAACGAGCGCAACCCUUGUUGUCAGUUACUAACAGGUUCCGGUGAGGACUCUGACAAGACUGCCAUCGUAAGAUGUGAGGAAGGUGGGGAUGACGUCAAAUCAGCACGGCCCUUACGUCCGGGGCUACACACGUGUUACAAUGGGGGGUACAGAGGGCUGCUACCACGCAAGUGGAUGCCAAUCCCAAAAACCUCUUUCAGUUUGGAUUGAAGUCUGCAACCCGACUUCAUGAAGCUGGAUUCGCUAGUAAUCGCGCAUCAGCCACGGCGCGGUGAAUACGUUCCCGGGCCUUGCACUCACCGCCCGUCA
rnacentral:rRNA from 1 species